GUGGGGAAUAUUGGACAAUGGGCGAAAGCCUGAUCCAGCAAUGCCGCGUGAGUGAUGAAGGCCUUAGGGUUGUAAAGCUCUUUUACCAGGGAUGAUAAUGACAGUACCUGGAGAAUAAGCUCCGGCUAACUCCGUGCCAGCAGCCGCGGUAAUACGGAGGGAGCUAGCGUUGUUCGGAAUUACUGGGCGUAAAGCGCACGUAGGCGGUUACUCAAGUCAGAGGUGAAAGCCCGGGGCUCAACCCCGGAACUGCCUUUGAAACUAGGUAACUAGAAUCUUGGAGAGGUCAGUGGAAUUCCGAGUGUAGAGGUGAAAUUCGUAGAUAUUCGGAAGAACACCAGUGGCGAAGGCGACUGACUGGACAAGUAUUGACGCUGAGGUGCGAAAGCGUGGGGAGCAAACAGGAUUAGAAACCCUUGUAGUCC
rnacentral:rRNA from 1 species